GGGAGACAGGUGGUGCAUGGUUGUCGUCAGCUCGUGUCGUGAGAUGUUGGGUUAAGUCCCGCAACGAGCGCAACCCUGCCUUUAGUUGCCAGCAGUUCGGCUGGGCACUCUAAAGGGACUGCCGGUGUUAAACCGGAGGAAGGUGGGGAUGACGUCAAGUCCUCAUGGCCUUUAUGACCAGGGCUACACACGUACUACAAUGGCCGAUACAAAGGGCAGCGACACUGCGAGGUGAAGCCAAUCCCGUAAAAUCGGUCUCAGUCCGGAUUGGAGUCUGCAACUCGACUCCAUGAAGUUGGAAUCGCUAGUAAUCGUGGAUCAGCAUGCCACGGUGAAUACGUUCCCGGGCCUU
rnacentral:rRNA from 1 species